GAUGAACGCUAGCGGCAGGCCUAAUACAUGCAAGACGAACGGUAAGUUGAGUAGCAAUACUUAGCCAAGAGUGUCGUACGGGUGCGUAACACGUAUGCAACCUACCCUAUACAGGAGGAUAGCCUAGGGAAACCUGGACUUAACCCUUCAUAGUAUUAUUGGAUGGCAUCAUUUGAUAAUUAAAACUGAGGUGGUAUAGGAUGGGCAUGCGUCUGAUUAGUUAGUUGGCGGGGUAAUGGCCCACCAAGACGAUGAUCAGUAGGGGUUCUGAGAGGAAGACUCCCCCACACUGGGCACUGAGAUACGGGCCAGACUCC
rnacentral:rRNA from 1 species